GGCAGACGGGUGAGUAACAUGUAGGUAUCUGCCCUUUGGCCUGGAAUAACACGAGGAAACUUGUGCUAAUACCGGAUAAGUCUUUACAGAGAAAGCUUUAUGCACCAUUGGAUGAGCCUGCACUUGAUUAGUUUGUUGGUGGGGUAAUGGCCUACCAAGACUUUGAUCAAUAGCUGAUUUGAGAGGAUGAUCAGCCACAUUGGGACUGAGACACGGCCCAAACUCCUACGGGAGGCAGCAGUGGGGAAUCUUGCACAAUGGAGGAAACUCUGAUGCAGCGAUGCCGCGUGAGUGAAGAAGGCCUUUGGGUUGUAAAGCUCUUUCGUCGGGGAAGAAAAUGACUGUACCCGAAUAAGAAGGUCCGGCUAACUCCGUGCCAGCAGCCGCGGUAAUACGAAGGGACCUAGCGUAGUUCGGAAUUACUGGGCUUAAAGAGUUCGUAGGUGGUUGAAAAAGUUGGUGGUGAAAUCCCAGAGCUUAACUCUGGAACUGCCAUCAAAACUUUUCAGCUAGAGUUUGAUAGAGGAAAGCAGAAUUUCUAGUGUAGAGGUGAAAUUCGUAGAUAUUAGAAAGAAUACCAAUUGCGAAGGCAGCUUUCUGGAUCAUUACUGACACUGAGGAACGAAAGCAUGGGUAGCGAAGAGGAUUAGAUACCCUCGUAGUCCAUGCCGUAAACGAUGUGUGUUAGACGUUGGAAAUUUGUUUUCAGUGUCGCAGCGAAAGCGAUAAACACAC
rnacentral:rRNA from 1 species